GGGGCUGAUUCUGGAUUCGACGGGAUUUGCGAAACCCAAGGUGCAUGCCGAGGGGCGGUUGGCCUCGUAAAAAGCCGCAAAAAAUAGUCGCAAACGACGAAAACUACGCUUUAGCAGCUUAAUAACCUGCUUAGAGCCCUCUCUCCCUAGCCUCCGCUCUUAGGACGGGGAUCAAGAGAGGUCAAACCCAAAAGAGAUCGCGUGGAAGCCCUGCCUGGGGUUGAAGCGUUAAAACUUAAUCAGGCUAGUUUGUUAGUGGCGUGUCCGUCCGCAGCUGGCAAGCGAAUGUAAAGACUGACUAAGCAUGUAGUACUGAGGACGUAGGAAUUUCGGACGCGGGUUCAACUCCCGCCAGCUCCACCA
rnacentral:tmRNA from 1 species